CCUUCGGGGUGCCCAGGCGCGAAAACUUUACAAUGCUGGAAACAGCGAUAAGGGGACCUCGAGUGCCAGGUUACAAAUCUGGCUGUCGUGAUGCCUAAAAAGCAUUGCAUAGCAAGGGCCGGGCAAGACCGGUGCCAGCCGCCGCGGUAACACCGGCGGCUCGAGUGGUAACCGUUAUUAUUGGGUCUAAAGGGUCUGUAGCCGGCCGGAUAAGUCUCUUGGGAAAUCCAGCAGCUCAACUGUUGGGCUUUCAGGAGAUACUGUCUGGCUCGAGGCCGGGAGAGGUGAGAGGUACUUCAGGGGUAGGGGUGAAAUCUUGUAAUCCUUGAAGGACCACCAGUGGCGAAGGCGUCUCACCAGAACGGACCUGACGGCAAGGGACGAAAGCUAGGGGCACGAACCGGAUUAGAUACCCGGGUAGUCCUAGCCGUAAACGAUACUCGCUAGGUGUCGGCCACGGUGCGACCGUUGUCGGUGCCGUAGGGAAGCCGUGAAGCGAGCCACCUGGGAAGUACGGCCGCAAGGCUGAAACUUAAAGGAAUUGGCGGGGGAGCAC
rnacentral:rRNA from 1 species